rnacentral:lncRNA from 1 species
CUUGCAUUUUUUUUCAGACUUUAUCUUGUAUUUUCCCUCUCAUUCUCAUGCCAAAAUAAUCCAGAUAUGGGAUGUGGAAUAAGGUGUAGUGCCCCCUUUUUAUAGGUUAUAAAGGGGCACCAUCCAAAUCCAGGGGAUGCCAACUUUUGGCAUCCCAACUUCUCCACAUGGUGAAAUAAAUCACCACAAUAAUAAAUGGUGUGG